CUCAGAAUAGAAUUGUUUUUAAAAAAUGGAAACCACCGCUCCUAGACUUAUUUUUAGCAGCUUUGUUAGGGCGGUAAGCAGAUGUUUGGUGUGCCAGUUGUUAAUCGACCCCCUGCUCUGAUGUAAGAUGGCAGAAAAAUCCAAAACCUUCCCCACGUGAAGACAAAGGGGUAGAUCAUGAUCUCCAAAGUUCAGUAGGUGCCCAGAAGCGCGGUACCAUAAAUGCUAUGAAAUUCAUCAAGGAUUCAGAGUUGACCUGCUAAAAUUUAAGACCAGGCACGCCUGGGUGGCUCAGUCAAGCGUCUGCCUUCCGCUCAGGUCAUGAUCCCAGGGUCCUGAGUCCUGCAUCAGCUGCUUACUCAGCGGGGAGCCUGCUUCUCCCUCUGCCUGCAGCUCCCUCUGCUUGUGUGCUCACUCUCUCUCCCCCUCUCAAAUAAAUAAAAUCUUUAAAAAAUAAAAAUAAAAUAAAAUAAAAUUUAAGACCAUACUGGGGUUGAGUAAUCCUGAUGUCAUUUUAAAAGAUCUGUAAAAACAAGCCAAAAUCAAUCUGUCUGAUGAUCUUCAAAUGUUAGAACACUGAAAUGGAAAAAAAAAAAAAAAAAAAGGAUGUGACACAAAGUUAUGCUGUGAAAAUGACCUCGAUGAUAGCUACGUUGCUUUUCCAAGGCUGUAGACAUUUUCACGUUUGGCUUUAGCAAACUAAAACCACCCUAAUCUACUGUCCCGGGAGAAAGGGAAGACCAUUUUUCUGAAACUGAGAUACAGAUCAGCCAGCUACCACCAUACCCCCACUUUCACCGUCUACACUCAUUACUUAGAUACUGAUUAGAUAUAACAGGACGGUAAUGGAAUAUGGACUCAAAAACAUGGCUCCCCCCCUCCCACAUUAAGGGGCUUCAGGCUGGUUUUACAGGUUGAAAAAUAUAAUCACAGGAUCCAUUUCUAAUCCCCUUUUAGGUCUCUACACCUGCCUUCUCCAAGCAACACACAUUCCCAACCAGCCAGCACCAACUUCUGGAACUGCUUGGUGGUGGGGCGUCCCCAAAGGGACUGUCCAUUCCAGGCAGGAGGAACUUGGAGCCAACUGACUUGCAGAGGUGCUUGUAUUACUGGUUUGUAAGAAAAAUGUUAUCUGAGCACACCUCUGAAAUUGCUUUUAUCGACUCUCUUUACCUCUUGUUUGAAAGAUAUUUGAAGGGUCAAGAUGAUGAACUGGAAAUUGUCGGCCUUUUGAUGGGACCAGAUUUCUAAGAUAACAAUAGAUAUUUGGUUUACUCUGUAUAUCUUUUUUUUGUUUGUUUGUUUACUCUAUAUAUCUUGGAAAAGAUCUGCAGAGAUCCGCCUUUAACAGUCAUUAGUUGCUUUUAAGACACAGGAUUCUGAUUGCCG
ensembl:lncRNA